rnacentral:rRNA from 1 species
AGUGAACGCUGGCGGUAGGCCUAACACAUGCAAGUCGAACGGCAGCACAGUAAGAGCUUGCUCUUACGGGUGGCGAGUGGCGGACGGGUGAGGAAUACAUCGGAAUCUACUUUUUCGUGGGGGAUAACGUAGGGAAACUUACGCUAAUACCGCAUACGACCUACGGGUGAAAGCAGGGGAUCUUCGGACCUUGCGCGAUUGAAUGAGCCGAUGUCGGAUUAGCUAGUUGGCGGGGUAAAGGCCCACCAAGGCGACGAUCCGUAGCUGGUCUGAGAGGAGGAUCAGCCACACUGGAACUGAGACACGGUCCAGACUCCUACGGGAGGCAGCAGUGGGGAAUAUUGGACAAUGGGCGCAAGCCUGAUCCAGCCAUACCGCGUGGGUGAAGAAGGCCUUCGGGUUGUAAAGCCCUUUUGUUGGGAAAGAAAAGCAGCAGGUUAAUACCCCGCUGUUCCGACGGUACCCAAAGAAUAAGCACCGGCUAACUUCGUG